rnacentral:lncRNA from 1 species
UUAAUGGAUUAGAUUAUCAUGAUAAAAGCGAAAAAGUUAUUCUCACAACGUGAAUUCAUGUAACAAAAUACACACAAAUGUUAAACAUCAAUAUAUCUCAUAAAUAUAAAUUAAUAAUAACAACAUAAAAGUAAAACUUAACCGCACAUGGCACGGAUCGUAUUCUAGUCCCUUAUUAAAUAUAGCUUUGUAUUGAUGUGUUUAGUUCUCUCAUGAAAUCAUCCUUUCUUUGCUAAGUGUAUAUUAAUAUGCUAGUUUGAGAACACCUUUACAUCGUUCAGUAUCAUA